rnacentral:rRNA from 1 species
AUUGAACGCUGGCGGCAGGCCUAACACAUGCAAGUCGAGCGAGCGGCUGACGGGUGAGUAAUGUCUGGGAAACUGCCUGAUGGAGGGGGAUAACUACUGGAAACGGUUGCUAAUACCGCAUACCAUCAGAUGUGCCCAGAUGGGAUUAGCUAGUAGGUGGGGUAACGGCUCACCUAGGCGACGAGCCCUAGCUGGUCUGAGAGGAGGACCAGCAACAGUGGAAAGGAGACAAGGGCCAGACGCCAACGGGAGGGAGCAGUGGGGAAGAUGGCACAAUGGGCGAAAGCCGGAUGCAGCAAUGCCGCGUGUGUGAAGAAGGCCUUCGGGUUGGAAAGCACGUGAAGAGGGGAGGCGUUACCCACAGAAGAAGCACCGGCUAACUCCGUGCCAGCAGCCGCGGUAAUAC